rnacentral:rRNA from 1 species
UACGGAGGAUGCAAGUGUUAUCCGGAAUCACUGGGCGUAAAGCGUCUGUAGGUGGUUUAAAAAGUCCACUGUUAAAAAUUGAAGCUUAACUUCAAAGAUGCCGUGGAAACUUUUAAACUUGAGUAUGGUAGGGGUAGAGGGAAUUUCCAGUGGAGCGGUGAAAUGCGUAGAUAUUGGAAAGACCACCAAUGGCGAAGGCACUCUACUGGGCCAUUACUGACACUGAGAGACGAAAGCUAGGGGAGCAAAUGGG